rnacentral:misc_RNA from 1 species
GAUGAAGAACGUAGCGAAAUGCGAUAAGUAAUGUGAAUUGCAGAAUUCAGUGAAUCAUCGAAUCUUUGAACGCAUCUUGCGCUCCUUGGUAUUCUGAGGAGCAUGCCUGUUUGAGUGUCAUUAAAUUCUCGACUACACUGACUUUGAAUUGGUGUGGCUUGGAUUUGGGGGGAAAAUUGUUGUGGGCUUUUUGUAUAGUCUGCUCCCCUGAAAUUGAUUAGCGGUACCUUUGUGGAACUGUCUACAGGUGUGAUAAUUAUCUACAUCUUAGACAUCUGCUGGAAUGCUGCUUUCUAAACCUUACUUGUAUUGACAAUCUUGACCUCAAAUCAGGUAGGACUACCCGCUGAACUUAAGCAUAUCAAUAAGCGGAGGA